UACGGAGGAUGCGAGCGUUAUCCGGAUUUAUUGGGUUUAAAGGGUGCGCAGGCGGUCUGUUAAGUCAGCGGUCAAAGCCCGGGGCUCAACCCCGGCCCGCUGUUGAAACUGGCAGUCUCGAGUUGGAGAGAAGUAUGCGGAAUGCGCGGCGUAGCGGUGAAAUGCAUAGAUAUCGCGCAGAACUCCGAUUGCGAAGGCAGCAUGCCGGCUCCACACUGACGCUGAGGCACGAAAGCGUGGGUAUCGAACAGG
rnacentral:rRNA from 1 species